AACGUAGGUGGCGAGCGUUAUCCGGAUUUACUGGGCGUAAAGGGCGUGUAGGCGGACUGUUAAGUCUGGCGUGAAAGCUCCCGGCUAAACCGGGAGAGGUCGUUGGAUACUGGCAGACUAGAGGAUGGUAGAGGCGUGUGGAAUUCCGGGUGUAGUGGUGAAAUGCGUAGAGAUCCGGAGGAACACCAGUGGCGAAGGCGACACGCUGGGCCAUACCUGACGCUAAAGCGCGACAGCAUGGGGAGCAAACGGG
rnacentral:rRNA from 1 species